rnacentral:rRNA from 1 species
UAGGGAAUCUUCGGCAAUGGACGAAAGUCUGACCGAGCAACGCCGCGUGAGUGAAGAAGGUUUUCGGAUCGUAAAACUCUGUUGGUAGAGAAGAACGUUGGUGAGAGUGGAAAGCUCAUCAAGUGACGGUAACUACCCAGAAAGGGACGGCUAACUACGUGCCAGCAGCCGCGGUAAUACGUAGGUCCCGAGCGUUGUCCGGAUUUAUUGGGCGUAAAGCGAGCGCAGGUGGUUUAUUAAGUCUGGUGUAAAAGGCAGUGGCUCAACCAUUGUAUGCA